rnacentral:rRNA from 1 species
UUACUAUAGGUAAUAUAAUAAUACGAUAUGGAAUGUAAUAUCCACCAGAUUAAAUAAAAUAAUCAUGGAUAGUAUAUAAAGAAACUAUUAUGGAUUACUAGCAAUAUAUCAAGGAGAAAAUUUGUGUAAAAUAAAUAUACACAUGUACUCUUAGAGAAAUUAAAUAAAAAACGAAGUGAAAUGAAAUAUCUAAGUAACUUUAGGAAAAAAAAUCAAAGGAGAUUCUACAAUUAGUGUGAAUGAAAGUGGAUAAGCCUAAAAAUAAAUAAGUAAAAUGGAUAAAAGUCUGUUUGAAUAAUUAAAGGGGAACCUUCCUCUAAGGCUAAAUAUGAUAUAUUAAGCGAUAGUGAAAAAAGUACCGUGAGGGAAAUGUAAUGAAAUAGUAGUUUUAUAAGCAGCUUGAAGAAAAUUUUAAAUAAAAAAAAGAGCGUACCUUUUGCAUAAUGGGUCAGCAAGUUAAUAUUAGAUGUAAGCAGAAAUGCCUAGAUAAAGCGAUUAUCUCUUAAUGAAUAAAUAUCUAAUAUUAGACCCGAAGCCUAGUGAUCUUACCAUGAUCAGGGUUAUAAAAGCCCGAACGGGUUAUCGUUGUAAAGAUAUCCGAAGAAUUGUGGUAAGUUAGUGAAAGACAAUCCUGACUAGGAUAGCUGGUUUUCCGCGAAACCUAUCUAAGUAGGUCAUUUAAUUAACAUCAUAGCAGGUACAGAACUGUGAUCUCAGACAACUUGGUUAAAAAAAAAUCAAUUUUGUAUAUAUCGGGGGAUUGUGAAGAUUUUACUGGUGAGUAAUUGGACUCGGAAUGGUAAUGAUGAAUGUUGAAUAAUCAGACAUAGAAUGCUAAGGUUGUAUGUCAAAAGGGAAACAGCCCAGAACAAGUGUAAUAAUAAGGUUCCAAAAUUAUUAUUAAGUGAAAUAAAGGUAGUCUUUUAUCUAAUUCGACCAGGAAAUAGGCUUAGAAGCGGCCAUUUUUUGAAGACCUCGUAACAGAGCACUGGUUUAUAUAUUAUUAUAUAAUAUAUAUUGAAAAAGGCAUUUAAAAUUUAUCGGAUCUAAAAUAAUAUACCGAAACCUUGUCUAUAAAUAUAUAAAAAUAUAUUAUAUAUUUAUGGGGUAGCGGAACGUAGGGUAUAUAUGAGAUUUUUUUCUUUUAUUAGAAAUAAAAUAUAACCCUAGUGAUAAUGCUGAUAUGAGUAACGAUAAAGGGAAACCAAUAGGUUGACCUCGCCUUAAGCUUAUGGUAUUAAUAAAAGUAACGGCCUCUAAGUUUAUUAACCUAAAGGACUAAACGAUGAGAAAAUCUUGUUUAUAUAGUAACAACUUUUAUAAAAAGUGAUAAAAGUUCUGGAAAAACAAUAAACGCAAAACCGUACCUAAAUACCACCUCAGGUAAGCAAGUAGAGAAUACGAAGGCGUUUGAGUGAACAAUCAUUAAGGAACUCGGCAAAUUAACUACCGUAACUUAGGGAGAAGGAGAGCCGUUCCUCCUGAUUAAUAUCAGGUAAAGAAAAGGAAGCAUAGAAUCGUGUUGUACGACUGUUUAAUUAAAACAAAGCACUUUGCAUUAAGAUAAAAAUCAAAGUAUUGAGUGUGAUCUCUGCCCGAUGUCGGCUGGUUAACAAAAUUUCUUAGUUGACUAAUAUAAACUAGGAUUUUAAGGAAACCCCGAUUAAUGGCGGCCUUACCUAUGAGGGUCCUAAGGUAGCGGAAUACCCUGGCCGUUAAAUGCGGUCUUGCAUGAAUGAUUGAACGAUACAACAGCUGUCUCAAUGAUUGGCUCAGUGAAAUUGGAAUAACUGUGCAGAUACAGUUUACCUCUAGUUAGACGAGAAGACCCUAUGCAGCUUUACUGUUGCUAGUUAUUGCGUAUGAUUGGACAAGUUGUAGUGUAUAAGGUAAUCGGUGAGAUAUUCUUGAAACGCCUUUACUGGAGUCUAUCGUAUUGCUGGGAACGGUGAAAACUCAUUACCCCUUGAAAUAAUAAAAAUAAAAUAAAUUUUUAUUUUUAUUAUAUUAGAGCGACUUUUAUUAUCAUAAUAAUGAGUAAGAGAAAAAUGACUAGGUGGCAGUUUAUGCGGGGCACAGAUCCCAUAAAAAGUACCUGGGUAUAUCCAAUAUUAAUUUGUAAAAUUGCAUGUUUGUAAUUAAAAUAAUAUUUAUUAUUUUAAUUUAUAUUUUAAUUUAACUUUAAAUAAGUUAAUAUUACUUAUUUUAAAUGUUUAUAUGUUUAUAUAAAUUUAUCCAAUUACUAAUCUAUUAAGUUAGAAAAUUUAAAUUUAAAUUAGGUAGGAUUUUAACUAUAUGGAAAAUAGAUGUAAAAAUUUAUAUUGACUAAUGUUUACAUUGUAAUAUAUUUUAGUUGCUUAUAUCUAAAUUUUAUUUUAUAAAAUUUAUUAGGUUUAAGUGAUUUUUAUUUUUACUUGUCAAGUUUAAUGGCUUAAUCCUGCUUUACUGUUUGACUUACACGUCUAUCAGUCACGUAAGUGGGGCAUAUGAUCACAAGAUGCAGAAAGGAAAGGUCUUGGAUUAAUGAAAAAGCUACGCUAGGGAUAACAGGCUAAUUGCGCCAGAGAGUACAAAUUGGGUGCGCAGUUUGGCACCUCGAUGUCGGCUUAGCUUAUCCACAUGAACGCAGGAAUCAUGAAGGGUACGGCUGUUCGUCGUUUAAUAAGCUACACGAGCUGGGUUAAAUACGUCGUGAGACAGUAUGGUUUCUAUCUUCUAGAGGGAAUUAGAGUAAAAUAAAGAUAGCCCCUUCGUACGAAAGGAGUUGGGUAUAUAAACCUCUGGUUUACCUGUUGUUUAUGUGCCCAAUAUUAAUAUCAAAAAUUGAUAAUUUUUAUUUUAUCUCAAUUAUUUAUUGAGUAAAUUAAAUAGGGAUGUUACUAUCACUUUAGUAAAUAUAUAGCAUAGGCACGGCAGGAAUGCUAUGUUUGUAAUAGAUAAGAGCUGAAUGCAUAUAGGUUCGAAACUUGCUUUAAGAUACUCUUAAAAUACGUAGUAGACUACUACGAUUUAUAUGUAAUAUUUACAUUUAGCAGUGAUUUUUAUUUAAAAAUUAAUUUUCAUUUUGCGAUGUUAUUUACAUAUUAAU